rnacentral:rRNA from 1 species
UAGGGAAUCUUCCACAAUGGACGCAAGUCUGAUGGAGCAACGCCGCGUGAGUGAAGAAGGUCUUCGGAUCGUAAAGCUCUGUUGUUGGUGAAGAAGGAUAGAGGCAGUAACUGGUCUUUAUUUGACGGUAAUCAACCAGAAAGUCACGGCUAACUACGUGCCAGCAGCCGCGGUAAUACGUAGGUGGCAAGCGUUGUCCGGAUUUAUUGGGCGUAAAGCGAGCGCAGGCGGAAUGAUAAGUCUGAUGUGAAAGCCCACGGCUCAACCGUGGAACUGCAUCGGAAACUGUCAUUCUUGAGUGCAGAAGAGGAGAGUGGAACUCCAUGUGUAGCGGUGGAAUGCGUAGAUAUAUGGAAGAACACCAGUGGCGAAGGCGGCUCUCUGGUCUGCAAACUGACGCUGAGGCUCGAAAGCAUGGGUAGCGAACAGGAUUAGAUACCCUGGUAGUCCAUGCCGUAAACGAUGAGCGCUAGGUGUUGGGGACUUUCCGGUCCUCAGUGCCGCAGCAAACGCAUUAAGCGCUCCGCCUGGGGAGUACGACCGCAAGGUUGAAAC